GACAACACACGCAGCUCGCCGACCAGAGACAGAGAGAGACCAUCUGCUAGCUUAGCUGCCAUGGCCGCCUCCACCGUCUCCGGCCUCGCCGGCGCCACCCUCGCCCGCCGGCCGGCCUUCUCCACCGGCUUCACGACGGGCGCCCGGGUGUCGGCGAGGAACCCGCUGCUGACGAGGAACCUGGAGAGGAACGGCAGGAUCACCUGCAUGACGUUUCCGCAGGACUGGCUUAGGAGGGACCUGAACGUGAUCGGGUUCGGGCUGAUCGGGUGGAUCGCGCCGUCGAGCGUCCCGGCGAUCAACGGCAACAGCCUCACGGGGCUCUUCUUCUCCAGCAUCGGCCAGGAGCUCUCCCACUUCCCCUCGCCGCCGGCGCUCGACUCGCCGUUCUGGCUGUGGUUGGUGACGUGGCACCUUGGGCUGUUCCUGGCGCUCACCUUCGGCCAGAUCGGGUUCAAGGGCAGGACCGAGGGCUACUUCGACAAGUGAAUGAAUCCACAGUGGCUUUUGGUUAGCUUGACUGUACGGACGGAUGUGUGCGCUGCAUAUCCUUCCUUUUGUAUAGGGCUCUGAUUUGAUCCUCUUGCGGAUGUACGCUGUUGUAAUUCUCCUCAACUCCUUAAAACUUUAAAGGACAAAUAUAUGUGUUGUGGC
rnacentral:misc_RNA from 1 species